rnacentral:rRNA from 1 species
GGAUAUGGCCAUAUCACCCUGCAGCCCAAGACCCGUUACUCACUGAAGCUAAGCAAGGUUGAGCCUGGUCAGUACCUCGAUAAGAGUCCACAUGGGAAAACUAGGUUGCUGUUGGAA